rnacentral:rRNA from 2 species
UACAGAGGGUGCGAGCGUUGUCCGGAAUCACUGGGCGUAAAGGGCGCGUAGGUGGCCCGACAAGUCUGUGGUGAAAGCUCGACGCUCAACGUCGAGUCGGCCAUAGAUACUGUUGGGCUGGAGCACUGUAGAGGCUCAUGGAAUUCCGGGUGUAGCGGUGGAAUGCGUAGAGAUCCGGAAGAACACCGGUGGCGAAGGCGGUGAGCUGGGCAGUUGCUGACACUGAGGCGCGACAGCGUGGGGAGCAAACAGG